GUGUCUCAGUCACUGUCUGUUUGAGAAGUGAGAAUCAAUUACGCAGCUACCGAGCCACCUCCCUCUAAGGCUCAGUCCUAUCGGUCUGACUUCCUCAGUCCCUCACCGCGACUCCCCCUGACUCUCUGAAGCUCAGACGCUCAGUCCCGUCACCGAGCCACCUCCACCGCUCCACAAAUUGAAGUAAGGGUCAAUUAGAAUUGCUGUUCAUUUGAGUUUUAAUCGAUUCUGUUUGUAUAUGAAUGAAUGGGUUUGUCCUUUUUGAGGAUUGUUCGUUUGUUGCUGAAAAAGUUUAUAGAUGCGAGUCAGUUAUAUGCUCUCCGGGCCAAGAUGAUGAUAAUGAUGUGAGGGUUGAAUGCCAUUUUUGGAUGCGAGGGUCAAUUGGAGUUGCUGUUUAUUAAGGUUUUAAACUUUUAAUUGAUUCUGUUUGUAUAUGAUGCAUUGAUGUUUGUAUAAUCAAAGUUUGAUUUCCUUAGCAGCCAUGGCUUCCUCCACGGUUUCAUUUGGGUUAUAAUCAAAGUCUGUUUGUAUGAUGCAUUGAAUACAUUAAUUGUCUGUUUCCGUAGCUCCUCUUUGCUGUAUACAAUCAAUUAGAAUACCCUGCUUUUGUUGUGUAGACGAUGAUAGUAUUGGAAGGGAGCAGCGGAGGACAAUUUGGUUGGGGGUUUUAUCCCUUCAAGUCUUCAUCUUGGACAUGAGGAUCGAGGGCAUCCCUUAACAAAAUGAAGACAAACUAAUUCCAUAUGCUACGUUUUAACUCGUAUGGAAAAUAGAACAAUCAAUGUAAGCACAUGAAUCAUAAGCUUCCCUCCAGCUAAGGAAGUAAAGGCCAAUUAAGGCCCCAAAAAGUGAUCGAACUGCUUGCGUGCAUGGUUGGGUAAUUGUCUUCCCUUCACAUGAAUCGAGUACACCAUUUUCCAUCACUAACCAAACUUUCCUUCAUUGAUAAUUAAAGCUUCGGUUUAGUUUAGUUUAAGCGAUUCCUUUCGUUAUCCUCGCACUAACGUGUUGUGUGUGCAUUUUUUCUUUUCUUUACAAACCUAUUGAAAGUGACAGGUUUGUUUUCGA